UACGAUGGGGGCUAGCGUUGCUCGGAAUCACUGGGCGUAAAGCGCACGUAGGCGGCUUUUUAAGUCAGGGGUGAAAUCCUGGAGCUCAACUCCAGAACUGCCUUUGAUACUGAGAAGCUUGAGUCCGGGAGAGGUGAGUGGAACUGCGAGUGUAGAGGUGAAAUUCGUAGAUAUUCGCAAGAACACCAGUGGCGAAGGCGGCUCACUGGCCCGAUACUGACGCUGAGGCACGAAAGCGUGGGGAGCAAACAGG
rnacentral:rRNA from 1 species